rnacentral:misc_RNA from 1 species
GAUGAAGAACGUAGUGAAAUGCGAUACGUAAUGUGAAUUGCAGAAUUCAGUGAAUCAUCGAAUCUUUGAACGCACAUUGCGCCCCUUGGUAUUCCAUGGGGCAUGCCUGUUCGAGCGUCAUUUGUACCUUCAAGCUCUGCUUGGUGUUGGGUGUUUGUCUCGCCUCUGCGUGUAGACUCGCCUCAAAACAAUUGGCAGCCGGCGUAUUGAUUUCGGAGCGCAGUACAUCUCGCGCUUUGCACUCAUAACGACGACGUCCAAAAGUACAUUUUUACACUCUUGACCUCGGAUCAGGUAGGGAUACCCGCUGAACUUAAGCAUAUCAAUAAGCGGAGGA